rnacentral:lncRNA from 1 species
CAAAAUUUUCUAUUCCGAGACAUAAUUAAUGAAUAUAGCAAGGCGUCUCAUCAGUGAUAUCUUACUUUAGUUGUGACUUCUAGGUGACGCCAAAGUUCUUCAUCAUGAUGCUUUAAGAGCAUGGACAGCCUUGUUAUAGUGUAACGUAUACCCACCACACUGUUAUCAAGUUGCUGACAGAAAUUAUCUCGAAACCCACUCAUCAAUUCAACAAAACAGAAAAAUGCAUCUGCUUCAGCAUACGCCUGCAACACUUAAAAUGCCAGCGUUAAGCAAAUAAGGGGGGACGAGGUGGUGUUCUAUCCAAAAGACAUCCAUUAGAAGUAGAAAAAUGUGAGUAUAAAUAAAACAAGGAAAAAAAAAGAAAUGGUACAUUAGCAAGAGCUACUCACUGCAUUUCCUUUAUCUGGGUCAUUUUUAAAGAUGUAGAAGAUAGGUGCCAAUAUCUCAUUCAUCCCUUGUACAUAUCUGAUGCCAGGAUUCAACUUUGCAAAGAUAGUCAACACGUUCUUCAAAGCAUCCUGAAGAUGCAAGACAUGUACAAAAUGACCGGGAAGACUAUUAAUAUGCACAUGUUUCAACCAAACGCUUUAAAUAGGCAAACCCAAAAUCCAACCUGAUUAGAUUUUGCUACCGCUGAAUCUCCAGAGAAAAAGUGCAUGUCUGGAUGCGUACGCAUCACAUCACGGUCGAUCUGUUCCAAGACUUCCGUGUCCUGAAAGUACCAGUUUAAAAUUAGGAAGGUCAUUUUGCAGCUUUAAAUUCAACAUGAAAAAAACAGUACUAAACCACGAAGAGAAAAUGAUAUUUCAUAGUGAUUAUGUGCAGUCACCAAAGAGUUAUGCUUUUACAACCAACCGUAAGUGACAAAAUCAUGACGAAAGAAACAAAAUUUUAGAAGUGCAUAAGUGUGUGAGCAUUUACAAACUAAUAUCUGAUCAUAAUUCAGCUAUAUUAUCCAUGAUACUAUAACUUUCAGGCUACAUUCAGAACUCAAUACUAAGGUAAUAACAUCUAAACUUGACUCACAAAAUUGAUAAUAUUUGAGGAUAAUGAUAUCUCAAGCUGAAAUCUAAAUACCUUGAAAAAGUUGUUCCAUAAGCUUGUUGUUCCAAGACUUAAGGGAUGAUCCUCAUGAGUUAUCUCUGACCUUGAGAGGGCACCAGGGCUUUCGACUUUCGGAUCAUUACUAUCGCCACUCUUUGAUUUCUCCAUCUUCCUUGUUACUUCAGACUAACUAGCCACAAAAAUAUAUAGAAACCGGGGUUAUCCUAAAUAGAAAAAUAAGAAAGUGACAUGAAAAAGGAAGAGCUAUCACCCAGAUAACGUAAGCAUCUCUAUAAUGACCGAUUCUUCAUUAUUAACUACUUUAUUUAUCAUUGUACCUCUAGGAGAUAUCAUAUGCACAAUGGCCCUAGAACAGUCUGCUUAGUCAAACACAUGACAUCUAUUUAGCUGUCAUGUCAACAUAUUAAACCAACAAAUACAAGCAUGUGGAUCAAAAAAUAAUAAAAAUGUAUGCUUUCCCAUUAAACAUCACCGAAUUCUACUUAAUGACAGUCAUCAUCAUCUAAUGACAGUGAAUUUCCAUCAACACGCCCUUAGCUAGUGGCAACAACCCCAUUAUGUCUACUUCAUCACUCGUUUGUGUGUGUUCGGUCAAUCUAGCUAGUUAUCAUUUUGUAAGAGUGCCAUCAGAAGUCACAAACCAUGAAACCAAUCACUGACUACAAUGAACUCGAGCAUCAAAUGGACUUACGGGGUUCAUAAGAAGCUCCUCUUUGAAUUGCUUGUACUGAGACCUUUUCUUAGCUAACUCAGAAGACCACAGUGAGCGAUCAGGUGAAAGAUAGCCCAGUAAAAGCUGUCAAAAUCCGGAUAAACAAUAUGAAGCUAAAACUGAGAGAAACAGUUAAAACUCAAAUCCAUUCCUUUAAGAUAUUCGUUUAGGUACCUUCCAGACGAGGGAGCGAAUGCCAGCAUCAUCAGGUAGACCUUGUGAAGCAGUUCUCCUCAAUUCCUUUAAGUCUAUCACCUUCUUAGAUAACUAUCACAAAGAGCAAUCAAAAUAAAAGAAUGUACAGAGAGAGAGAGAGAGAGAUAAUGAGUUUGUGUGUGUGUGUUUAAGGACUAACCUCAGCGACGACCUGCGUCUUCCGAGAAACAUCCUCAGCCGCGGGAGUUACGCUUCCAGGUCCAUCUACCCCGCUCCCAUUCUGCAAAUCGUUAAUCUCAGAUUUGGAAGGAGGACGAAUCGGAAGAGGCGGAGCUGGUGCGGCGGAAAUCGUGGAAGGAGGAGGACGCUCGACGAUCGGAGGAGAUGGAGCGACGGCGGUGGCGGCGGGAGGAGGGCGAUCGUCGGGGAUGGGAGAAGGAGAGGAGGACCAGAGGGAACUGUUGAGCCACUCAGGGACACCUUUCUUCGCCAUUGUUUUUGAGGAAAAAUGUUUGGAGUCUCUUCUUGCUUCUUGCUACUUCUCUCUCUCUCUCGGGGGAGAGGUUAAGACCAAAAGGAGUUCCGUGUACAGCUGGCUGGCUGGCUGGGCCACGCUCUCUUAAUGCGUCCUUUUCUUUUUUCUAAAAUCCCCCUAAAUAAUACAACCUACUGCCAAAAUUGCAUAAAUUGACAUCAUUUUCCUUAUUUUCCACACUAUAUUUUUAUCUUCUUGUUACUAAACAAACUAGUGAUCGAAUUUUCACAUUUUACUAAGUCUUAAACUUAUCAUCUUUCAUGAGAUCCGUUAAACCAUUAUAAGUUAAUUUUGAUCAUAAGAUGUUAUAUCAACAUCGUGUGUAAUGAGUUGAUUUUUUCAAAAAAAAAAAAAAAGGUAAUGAGAUGACAUUAUGUUAUGGUGGGGUGGACCAUAUGAUAAACGAAAUCUAUUAAUAAGGAAAUUAACUGAGUUGAAAUACAAGCAAAGAGAUGUUACAAUGUAUAAGAAAUUGCCAACAUCAGGAACUUGAAGUUUUCUGCGAACAAGGAAUCAACCAAGAAACCGAAUCAAGCCAUAGCUAUAAACGUACCGAUCCAUUUUCUUGAGUCUUCAACAAAAUGUUUUAGAAUUCUCCAAGAAGAAGAUAGUAAGCAGCAAUAAUAAAACACAGCAGAAAAGACGCGAAGAGAAGGAAGAUGUAACAGUAUGGGAAAAGGACGAUCAUAAUCAUUAACAAGAUUAGUGAAAUCGUUCCACAACUCAUGACUGCUCUUUGCUUUUGUUGGAAGAAAACCAGGAGUUUUUUUUCUUUUUGACUUUGAACAAAAUAUUUGUCACACAAUUACUUCUUCAAUACACAAUUACUUCUUCAAUUUUUUUUAAUUUAUGAUUCAGAUCAUUUACCAAAUCAAACCAAGAAAAGAAACUUCCGUGAAAUGAUCAAAGAAUAAAAAUAUAAGAUCUGACAUCCUAAAAACUCUCUAUCUAUAAUAUCUGUUACACAUAAUUACCAUCAGAAAUCUCAACACUGAAGCAAGGUUUGAUCUGAGAUAUUCUCAGGCAGCUAAAGUUAACUUACACAAUCAUGUACAUAUGAUGAAAGAAAGUUGCAGAGUCUAUGAAUUCAAAACAACAAGGAGAAAGGGACUGAAUGAUUGUUAAAACCUGACGAUCUUUAUUUAUUUUAUUUAGAGCGCAAUUUAUCUGCGACAUAGAGCAUAUGGCUGAUGUUUGUAGGAGGAUAGUUUUGAAGAAGUUUGAGGUUCGACGUGAAAUCACCAGCCAGCAGACGCCUUCGUACUAGUAUCAACAUUGCACAACAUACUCGUAGUAGCGUCUCCUGCAAAUUAAUGUUUCAUUUUCACUUGUUAGCCUUCUCUCUUACAAAACAGCAAGUGCAUGUAGAGCCAAUUUACGAUAAGAUGCAAAGAGAAUCUCUAUGACUAUACCACGUACAAAAGCCAUAUCGUUGUUAAUGUCUCCUAAUUCUUCCCUACAUACAUGCACGUUAUAUUGUCCUAAACUAAGCUGCUUAGAGGUAUUGAAAUGAAACCCUUAAUGACUCAAGUCACUCACAAGAAUGGAAUUCACUUAGGAAACUGAAUGGUAAUAAAUUGAAUACUACCUGUGGACCUUCGGGGUCGCUUAAGAGUGUGUCCCAGAUGUGAAGGCUUUCCACGAAGUUGAACUCUUGAGUCAAGAGGAGUGUGAUCCAUCUGAACGCAUAGAAUUGUGGGUUUAUCUGAAAAUUGACAAAUGGGGUAUCAACUAUCACAACGCUGAAACACUUCUAUAAAAUUACCGAAGCUCCAAAAAACGAAAAUUUUGAAAGCAAGGCGUCUCAUCAGUGAUAUCUUACUUUAGUUGUGACUUCUAGGUGACGCCAAAGUUCUUCAUCAUGAUGCUUUAAGAGCAUGGACAGCCUUGUUAUAGUGUAACGUAUACCCACCACACUGUUAUCAAGUUGCUGACAGAAAUUAUCUCGAAACCCACUCAUCA